UAGGGAAUCUUCGGCAAUGGGGGCAACCCUGACCGAGCAACGCCGCGUGAGUGAAGAAGGUUUUCGGAUCGUAAAGCUCUGUUGUAAGUCAAGAACGAGUGUGAGAGUGGAAAGUUCACACUGUGACGGUAGCUUACCAGAAAGGGACGGCUAACUACGUGCCAGCAGCCGCGGUAAUACGUAGGUCCCGAGCGUUGUCCGGAUUUAUUGGGCGUAAAGCGAGCGCAGGCGGUUUGAUAAGUCUGAAGUUAAAGGCUGUGGCUCAACCAUAGUUCGCUUUGGAAACUGUCAAACUUGAGUGCAGAAGGGGAGAGUGGAAUUCCAUGUGUAGCGGUGAAAUGCGUAGAUAUAUGGAGGAACACCGGUGGCGAAAGCGGCUCUCUGGUCUGUAACUGACGCUGAGGCUCGAAAGCGUGGGGAGCGAACAGGAUUAGAUACCCUGGUAGUCCACGCCGUAAACGAUGAGUGCUAGGUGUUAGGUCCUUUCCGGGACUUAGUGCCGCAGCUAACGCAUUAAGCACUCCGCCUGGGGAGUACGACCGCAAGGUUG
rnacentral:rRNA from 1 species